rnacentral:rRNA from 1 species
UACGAAGGGUGCAAGCGUUAAUCGGAAUUACUGGGCGUAAAGAGCUCGUAGGCGGCUUGUCGCGUCGGAUGUGAAAGCCCGGGGCUUAACUCCGGGUCUGCAUUCGAUACGGGCAGGCUAGAGUUCGGUAGGGGAGAUCGGAAUUCCUGGUGUAGCGGUGAAAUGCGCAGAUAUCAGGAGGAACACCGGUGGCGAAGGCGGAUCUCUGGGCCGAUACUGACGCUGAGGAGCGAAAGCGUGGGGAGCGAACAGG